rnacentral:tRNA from 2 species
AAAAUCCGUCGAUUUUUUAAUCAUGAGGGUUCAAGUCCCUCUAUCCCCA